rnacentral:rRNA from 1 species
GAUGAACGCUAGCGGCAGGCCUAAUACAUGCAAGACGAACGGUAAGUUGAGUAGCAAUACUUAGCCAAGAGUGUCGUACGGGUGCGUAACACGUAUGCAACCUACCCUAUACAGGAGGAUAGCCUAGGGAAACCUGGAUUAACCCUUCAUAGUAUUAUUGGAUGGCAUCAUUUGAUAAUUAAAGCUGAGGUGGUAUAGGAUGGGCAUGCGUCUGAUUAGUUAGUUGGCGGGGUAAUGGCCCACCAAGACGAUGAUCAGUAGGGGUUCUGAGAGGAAGAUCCCCCACACUGGCACUGAGAUACGGGCCAGACUCCUACGGGAGGCAGCAGUAGGGAAUAUUGGUCAAUGGAUGCAAGUCUGAACCAGCCAUGCCGCGUGCAGGAAGAAGGCCCUUUCUGGGGUUUGUAAAACUGCUUUUUGCCAGGGGAUAAAAUUUCCAUGCGUGGAAAACUGAAGGUACCUGGUGAAUAAGCCACGGCUAACUACGUGCCAGCAGCCGCGGUAAUC